rnacentral:rRNA from 1 species
GACGAACGCUGGCGGCGUGCCUAAUACAUGCAAGUAGAACGCAGUUGCGAACGGGUGAGUAACGCGUAGGUAACUGCAUGGUAGCGGGGGAUAACUAUUGGAAACGAUAGCUAAUACCGCAUACUACCAGAUGGACCUGCGUUGUAUUAGCUAGUUGGUGGGGUAACGGCCCACCAAGGCAACGAAACAUAGCCGACCUGAAGGGGGGGUCGGGCAAACAGGGACUGAGGAACGGGCCAGAACUCCACGGGAGGCAGCAAUUGGGAAUCUUCGGCAAAGGGGGGAAACCUGACCGAGCAACGCCGGGUGAGGGAAGAAGGUUUUCGGAUCGUAAAGCUCUGUUGUUAAGGAAGCGGUACUUAACCAGAAAGGGACGGCUAACUACGUGCCAGCAGCCGCGGUAAUAC